CGUCACUCUCUCUUCUCAUCCACUCACUCUUGCUCUCCCUCUCUCAACCGGUCAGAACAACGGGGCAAAAGCAGCACCACUUCUUCUCCUUCCCUCUCUCAAACUCUCUCACUACUCCACCCAAAAUCUCACCCAAGAACAAGGAUUCAAGGCCGUCUUCAUCUUCUUCAUCUUCCCCAACCGACGUUCCCCAACCUCCAACAAGACUUUGGUGAUUGAUGAACCGGAGAGCAACAUGGAUAUUCUUGAGCUGGAACCUAGUUGUGAUAUUGUGUGAAGCACUUGAGAAAGGUAAGCAUAUAAGUAUGUUGC